rnacentral:rRNA from 1 species
AUACAUGCAAGUCGAGCGAACAGACGAGGAGCUUGCUUCUCUGACGUUAGCGGCGGACGGGUGAGUAACACGUGGAUAACCUACCUAUAAGACUGGGAUAACUUCGGGAAACCGGAGCUAAUACCGGAUAAUAUAUUGAACCGCAUGGUUCAAUAGUGAAAGACGGUUUUGCUGUCACUUAUAGAUGGAUCCGCGCCGCAUUAGCUAGUUGGUAAGGUAACGGCUUACCAAGGCAACGAUGCGUAGCCGACCUGAGAGGGUGAUCGGCCACACUGGAACUGAGACACGGUCCAGACUCCUACGGGAGGCAGCAGUAGGGAAUCUUCCGCAAUGGGCGAAAGCCUGACGGAGCAACGCCGCGUGAGUGAUGAAGGUCUUCGGAUCGUAAAACUCUGUUAUUAGGGAAGAACAAAUGUGUAAGUAACUAUGCACGUCUUGACGGUACCUAAUCAGAAAGCCACGGCUAACUACGUGCCAGCAGCCGCGGUAAUACGUAGGUGGCAAGCGUUAUCCGGAAUUAUUGGGCGUAAAGCGCGCGUAGGCGGUUUUUUAAGUCUGAUGUGAAAGCCCACGGCUCAACCGUGGAGGGUCAUUGGAAACUGGAAAACUUGAGUGCAGAAGAGGAAAGUGGAAUUCCAUGUGUAGCGGUGAAAUGCGCAGAGAUAUGGAGGAACACCAGUGGCGAAGGCGACUUUCUGGUCUGUAACUGACGCUGAUGUGCGAAAGCGUGGGGAUCAAACAGGAUUAGAUANCCUGGUAGUCCACGCCGUAAACGAUGAGUGCUAAGUGUUAGGGGGUUUCCGCCCCUUAGUGCUGCAGCUAACGCAUUAAGCACUCCGCCUGGGGAG